rnacentral:rRNA from 1 species
UACGUAGGCAGCGAGCGUUGUUCGGAAUUACUGGGCGUAAAGAGUGUGUAGGCGGUGUUCCCAGUCUGUUGUGAAAUCUCCCGGCUUAACUGGGAGGGUGCAGCGGAAACUAGAAUGCUAGAGGGUGGGAGAGGUAAGCGGAAUUCCUGGUGUAGCGGUGAAAUGCGUAGAUAUCAGGAGGAACACCGGUGGCGAAGGCGGGUCUCUGGGCCGAUACUGACGCUGGAGGAGCGAAAGGCGUGGGGAGCGAACAGG